CUGUGGGCUGCAUCAGUAAACUGAACUCAGCUUUACUCAAAAUGUAUUCAAUCUUUUUAUAAGCCAAUUGGUGCUACCCUCCAAAAUAGUCUGAGUUUAUCAUGUGGCCCCUUGUGAAAAUGAAUACUGUAAAGCUGUAGUGUUUUGCCUUUUACAGUCGUGUGAGCAAAGCAGGAUAAAGGGUCCAGAGAUCCUGAAAGUAUAUUUAGGUAUUUUAUAGAUAAAUGUAAAAAACAGAAAUAUUGUAAAUAAGCUGUGAGUUAUAUGACUACAGUAAACAACCUGGCAAGAAGUAGAACUAGAGCACAGGUGUAUAUAUACACACAGCUGAGAGUAAUGGGAGGAAGUGACGUUGGUGUGAUGCAAAAUAAAAGACUGGUGACCUCUAGUGGAAUGAAGGGGAGCUACAGGGAAACAAUCUGUAAACUAAAGCUCAUUCCACGGGCGCUAUACGACAUUGUUCACAGCUUAAAAGAUCAACCUGGUUCCAUAAACACCAGAAAGCUAAUCAUAGCUAUUGUGGUGACAGUAAGUAGAACUACACAAUAAAAGACACAUGGUUUUAUUGUUUUGGCUGGUUUGAAAUGAAUUCAUAUAUUGGCAGCACAGAUUAUUAUACAAAUUGAUUUUUUAUUGUUAUUUAGUCAUUAAUAUUAAAUGCAGAGACAAGAAGAUAACUAUAUGCCAUGGAUUAGUUGGUUUUAGGACCCAAAUACAGAAGUAAACCAAAGUGAGCUUUUGUGUUUGGCUGAAUAUGUUUCAUAAGUCCAAAAAAGACGAAUAGUCACAAACCAACAUCCAAACUACAGGGAAACCAAUAAAGCAUAGAUAUAAAAAGUGAGAGACAGCUGGUCAGAGACAAAGAGAAAAAGAAGACAGGACUAUAACUGAUGAAUGAUGAUGAUUCGGAGGGGAUGAAUGUAAUUACACACAGGUGAAAACAAUCAGGGCAGAGCAGAAGAUCCCAGCAGAAAGAAGCAAUUAACACAGAGAAUUAAAGUCACCUUCAAAUGAAAACAGGAAAGACAACUAAAACUAGAAAUCCCACAAAACAUGAUAAGAGAAAGGGUACAAGUACGUAAAUGAGACAUGAAGUAAAAACACACAAAAAAUACUCCAAAUAGGCACCAAAACUCAAUAAAAACUAAACACCAACCAGAACUCAAAUAAUACAACAAAACUAAAGCUCAGCAUCACCAGAAUGCUAAAGACAUCAAAACAGGAAUCCAAACCUCAAAUACAACAUAAACCCAGAGGAUGAUGACGCUCAACGCUGCAGGCCAGCUGCCAUCUUUUCUCAGUUUAUUUUACUGGCUUAAACUGAAACAACAAACAGAUUUUUAAUGAAAAUGUAACCCCCAUAUGUUUCUGAUUACUAACAACAUUAAUGUCUAUAUAAAGUUUUUGUGGUUAGAUAGAAAGACACUGGUCUGGUUUCAUACAGCAAAAGUUUACCAUGUACUGAGAGACAAAGUUUAUAUUGAGAAACUAUCUUGUAUCUGGUGCAAUAGCUGUAUGUUUUCCAUCCACCCAGUCUUGUCUUCACUUCAUAACCUUGUCAAAAUAAACCAGGCAUCUUCUAUAAGACAAUAAUACAGCCGGCACGCUCACAGUAACAGGUGUUUCAUUUUUAGACAUAUUAAGUUAAACAGUCUGUUGCACAUCUCUGUGUCACAUUUAGGCAAUCUAACAGGAAUAUUUUAAACCAUUUAGCAUAUUGCUAACAAAUUUCUCCAUGAGAAAUCAAAACAAAAAUAGUCUUUGAAGUCCUUUUUGUAUAAUAUUUGAACUAUAUGGCUGGAAAACUGACAGUAGAGUAGAUGUUGCUGGGAUGAGCAGUGGCUGCAGCAGAAGAGGAAGGAGCCUUCACAGUGCUGUAUGCAUCAUCUUUGUUAACAUCCUGAACCUGAGAAACAAAAGUGAAGCUGUCUGACACGUGACUUAACAUAAAAAAAAUACAUACAAACUUGUCAAACAACAUGUGCCCAAGAUGCUGACUUUGAUUAAUUUAAAUAUAUGUGUUUCAUGAUUUUGAGGGUUAGUAAUUUUUUUGAGUGUAAGGUAAUGCUAGAAGAGGACUUGCAAUUUUAAAGUAAACAAUCUGGAUCAGCUGCCACACACAUUGUUUUUUUGUUUUGUGUUUUUUUUUUUUGUGCAUUUUUCAGUUAAAAGGAGGCCAAGGAGAUUGGCCCUGUAAUUGUCAGUGGAACUGGUGUCUGGUAUGGUUGGUACUAGAACAUUUGUUUCAAGACUGUUGGACCAGUACAUAUAAUGUAUAGGUUGGACUUCUAGGUUGGUUUGACUUUAGUUUAAUUCCAUAAGUUUGUUUUAUUACAAAUAAAUCAUUAUUUGCUAGUCUUGUGUUUUCUACUCCUUUGGAAUAAAUUGGUUGUUGUAUAGUGCUUUUCUACUUGAGCACUUAAAGUGCUUUAUACAACAUGCCUCAUUCACCCGUUCGUACAAACACUUUUUCAACAUAUAAGUGCUUUUUAUCUAACAUUCAGUAUCUUGCCCACAGAUACUUUGCCUACAGCAGCCAGGGCUCGAACCACCAACCUUCCAAUCAGUGGAUGAUUUGUAUGAAAUGUAUGAAUUACUUGGGGGUGGGUGUGGCCUAGGAGGUGAGCCACAACCACUUAAGAAACAAAACACAAAUAACUGUGUCUGUGCUCAUGCACGGGUUAUAAGUGAUACCAUGCAUGAUGCAUGGCUCUGUAUGUACGAUUGCAUGUGUUUGUGUGUCUGAAUAUAUCUAACUGCUCUGUGUGAAACUUUAUGAAUCAGAGGUGGAUAUUACAUUUCUGUCAAUUGGCUUUUGGACUACCAUUACCUCCUGGCACUUUACAUCUCCCCUCAUAAAGUCCUCUCUAAGCUACCAACAACCAUCCAUCCUCCCAUAUCUGUCUGUUCCUCAGACCUCAGAAUCGAAUUCACAGAGAGCUUAAAAGACAAACAAACACAUCCAAACUUUGAAUAAACAGCCUCACAUAUGUUCACAGAGGGAGACAGUCACAGUUUGCUGUCUUUAACAAUCUCAAAGGUUACAUGUCCUUGUUUGUACGGAAGUCUGGUGCAAUAUGUAGCUUCAUUCACAAUUGUGCAAUGCUUGUUUGCAUCCUUGUUUCUCUAAUAGCAUUUUCAUGUUUCAUGUCAGACGUGUUGUUGCGCUGCACAAUUACUUUUAUAAUGCAGCAAUACUGCACUGCAUGCAAAACAAAGAAGGGGGAACAGAAAGGGAUCUCAAAGCUGUAAAGUUCGUUGCUAUGAGUUUUAUUCACAUCGAUCAAGCAUCCUUCAAAGAAACAUCUGGCUUUAAAGAUUAAUUUGUUGGAAUGCAGCAAGAUAACAUUAAAAAUUAAAUACACACCUUCAAAAUAGAAGGAAAAUGGAAACACAAAAACAACCAUUUAUAUUUAAAUGCCCUUAUAAUCUUUUUUAUAUAAUAACAGCCAUUUUCUCUUCUUGGUUGCUGUUGUUGAUCAGUGGGGUUUGACAGAAACAACGAGUCAUAGCUGUUUCUGUCACAGUUUAUUACAACAUGCUCUUUAUCAUAAUCUAUCUGUGGCAAACAAACAGCAACAGCAACAAAUAUAUCUGAUUGUGAGUUCAGACAAAUAAAUUGUCUUUUUUGUAAUUACCUCUGGUUUCUUUUGUGUUUUUGAGUGUUUGUUUCUCUUCUCAGUGUCAGUCGCCUCAUCUUACUGACUUUUUUGCAUUUAUUAUUUUCAUGUUUUUAAAAUUCAGCUAUUUCCCUUUUUGCACGUAGCUCGUUGACUCAAACAAAAAACAUUCCUAUUAGAAACUUCUGGCUCUCAGUCCUCUGCUGAACCACAUUUACCUCAAGAAAUCCAAAACAAUCUCAUGAACUUCAUCUACAGUUAUUACUAAAUAACAAAUAUCAGAAACGCAAAUAUAUAUAUAUUGUACUUACUGUGUUUUUGUCCGUCUGUGCUUUAUUAACUGAAAUUAAAAAAAGAGAAAGUUGAUUUCAGUUUAAAAUGAAAAUUCAAAAUCAUUCAAAUUUCUCAUUGUUAAAUUUACCUUUAGUUCUUGUCCAGAUGUUAACUGUGACAACAGUUAUUGUAAGCACGGCUAAACCCACAGAGAUAAUAACGAUUUUCAACAAUAGAAAAAAAUCUGUAAAAAGAAUAGAAGCAUAUAAUUACUAAACUUCAUUACAGUUUUCUGGGGGUUUUUUUUGUGAAGAUUAAGACUUUUGCACAGCUUGUAAGUUUAUUGAAGGAAAUAUUUUAGGCGUUUCCUCACCUGAGGGCUGCUGACUGAAGGUAAACUGCUGCACUCUCUUUGUCUUAGUAUCAGUCACUUCACACUUCAGUAACUGAUAUUUUGGUGAAUGAAUAAAAUGAGACUUUGGAAAUGAAACGGUGGUGGAGCAGUCAGUGUGUGAGGUCACUACUUGGUUGUUCUCUUUGUCCACAUCGUGACCUUUAAUCAGCCACUUCACUGUGUGACGACACCUUCCAUACGUCAACACAGAGCAGUUUAAUGUCAUCCUAUCAUUGUCCUCGUAUUCAUUCACUGUAAAACAAAAUGAAAUAACUUGAGAUGAACACAGCACAAAGCAGACAAAUGAUCUGAAUUACUGUAAUUACAAUUAUCAUAUUUAUUGUUGUAAAAAAAGAGUUUGAGAUGAAAAUAUUUUGAUGUAAAUACUCACAGGUAAUAACAGAGAGAUCAAAUAAAGAAUGAUGAACCAGAAUUUUGUGACCCUCUGUUUCUCCUAAUUGGUAUUGUUUAAAUAAAGACCAACAUCCUCAAUCGUGAGCUUCUUUAUAUGCAGAGAACAGUUCGCUGUAACAUUCAGUCUGUCUGAUUUAGUUUGGACUUUUUCACUAAUCUGUCCAAGUGUGAUCAGCUCUACUGCUGUUUUAUUUCUUGAAAUAAAGGUCCACGUAGUACCGUCACAGUUAUUCUGCUCAUCUAUCACAUUUAGACAAGGCAGAGUGACGUCAUCUCCAACUUUUGUAAAAAAGGAUUUUUCAUUUGCAAAAACUGUUGAGAAGAUUCAAGAAAAAUGU
rnacentral:lncRNA from 1 species